UACAGAGGGUGCAAGCGUUGUUCGGAAUUAUUGGGCGUAAAGGGCGCGUAGGCGGCCAUCUAAGUCAGACGUGAAAUCCCCCGGCUUAACCUGGGAACUGCGUCUGAUACUGGACGGCUCGAGUAUGGGAGAGGGAUGUAGAAUUCCAGGUGUAGCGGUGAAAUGCGUAGAUAUCUGGAGGAAUACCGGUGGCGAAGGCGGCAUCCUGGACCAUUUACUGACGCUGAGGCGCGAAAGCUAGGGGAGCAAACGGG
rnacentral:rRNA from 1 species